rnacentral:tRNA from 1 species
CAGAGAGUAGCUUAACAAAAGCGAUCGCCUUACAACCGACUGAUGCCCAAUAAGGGCCUCACUGA